rnacentral:tRNA from 1 species
GUCUCUGUAGUUUAUCUAAAACAUUAGUCUUGUAAACUAAAAUUGGUCUCCAGAGACC